AGAAUACUGUUAUAGCUGUUGUCUCAGCCAGGAGAGAAUACCGUCAUGGCUGUUGUGUCAGCCAGGAGAGGUUGUGUUGUGUUGGGUUAUGCUGUGGCUGCUGAUAUGGCUGCAGUAUCAGCCAGUUCUGGAGACUAGAAAGUCCAAGGUCAAGAUGCUGGCAGACUGCGUUCAAGACUUCAGGAAUGACCACUGAAAUAGAUAUUUUCAUUCUGGCUUCCAGGCAUCACACUUAAAUUGUUCAAUAAACUGAGUUGUAUAU